GCCAGGACUGAGCGGGCAGCAGGGGCCUCCAGGCAUUGCUCACUCUCUCAUCCACUCAAAGUGUCCCAAGUAUUCUUCAUAGGUUUGGUUGCAUGUUAGGCACAGAUGGCUCAGAUGCCAUCAAGUGUGAAGGAUGUUCUUGGGAUUACAAAUUUGUUAAGAAGAGAGGGUAAUUAGUUUUAUCUAGGGAAAAAGAUGCGGGGCUCACAGACGGGCCAUUUGAGCUGGGUCUUGAUGACCAGUUGGAAGAGACUAGACUAUUAAAGGCCCAGCUUCCUGAUUCCUGAUGCCAGAGCUCUGAGACCGUCUCCCAGGGACUGAAUCUGUUUCUCUGGUCUCUCCCCUCAUCACUCCUCAAAAGGUCUUAUUCUGAGCCAGGAAAGACACCCAAGAUUCCUUUCCCAUAUAGGUUAUUAAAGAAUAUUGAGUAGAGUUCCCUGCGAUAUACAAGUCCUUGUUGAUUACCUAUGUUACAUUAAGAAGUCAGUAUACGUUAAUUCCAAACUCCUAAUUUGCCCCCCACCCCCAACCUUUCCCCUUUGGUAACCAUAAAUU